GCUCUUCGGAGCAGUGGCGCACGGGUGAGUAACGCCUGGGAACCUACCUCGAGGUACGGAAUAACGGCUGGAAACGGCCGCUAAUACCGUAUGUGACCCAAGGGUGAAAGAUUUAUCGCCUUGAGAGGGGCCCGCGUCCGAUUAGCUAGUUGGUGAGGUAAUGGCUCACCAAGGCUUUGAUCGGUAGCUGGUCUGAGAGGAUGAUCAGCCACACUGGGACUGAGACACGGCCCAGACUCCUACGGGAGGCAGCAGUGGGGAAUAUUGGACAAUGGGGGCAACCCUGAUCCAGCAAUGCCGCGUGUGUGAUGAAGGCCCUAGGGUUGUAAAGCACUUUCGCCGAUGACGAUGAUGACGGUAGUCGGAUAAGAAGCCCCGGCUAACUCCGUGCCAGCAGCCGCGGUAAUACGGAGGGGGCGAGCGUUGUUCGGAAUUACUGGGCGUAAAGGGCGCGUAGGCGGCUUCGUUAGUUGGGAGUGAAAGCCCCGGGCUCAACCUGGGAACUGCUCUCAAUACUGCGGAGCUAGAGAACGGGAGAGGGUAGUGGAAUUCCCAGUGUAGAGGUGAAAUUCGUAGAUAUUGGGAAGAACACCAGUGGCGAAGGCGGCUGCCUGGCCCGUUUCUGACGCUGAGGCGCGAAAGCGUGGGGAGCGAACAGGAUUAGAUACCCUGGUAGUCCACG
rnacentral:rRNA from 1 species